GGUUAAGCGACUAAGCGUACACGGUGGAUGCCCUGGCAGUCAGAGGCGAUGAAGGACGUGCUAAUCUGCGAUAAGCGUCGGUAAGGUGAUAUGAACCGUUAUAACCGGCGAUUUCCGAAUGGGGAAACCCAGUGUGAU
rnacentral:rRNA from 2 species